rnacentral:misc_RNA from 1 species
AUUUAACUCGCUUGAUCAGUAGCUUUAUCUAUUCAAAAGCUCAAAUUAUCAGGUGCAGAAAUCUAACACUACCAGAAGUACUCUGCCACAGGUGGUGGUAUUCGUGCAUGCAACAAGUGUAACAUUGAUAGAAUAAAGCAAUCUCACUGUGCUCAAAGCCUCUUGGAAAAAUGGAAAUAACCCAGAGGCAACAAUUAUUAAUACAAGAGAUGAAAGCUUACAGAGCGUUCAACGUUCUGGUAAUGUCCAGUGAGAUGAGAACAUUUUCAAGUCUUGACUGGGACAGAGAUGUAGGAGCAUGUCCACCCAUGUAUCAAUGCUCUUGGAACAAAUCAUAAAACUACCAAGUUCUGGUUCUAAUUUUUGCUAGAAAUCUUCCUCCCAACAUAAGCACGAGAUGCGAGAAUAUUGCUGUAUGCCAUUCCUUUUGUUAAUUUCGUAAUGCCUUUUCACACUAGGACAUUCCACAAUUUGAAGGAAGCAAAGAUUAGCAGGCAGCAUCUCCUCUGGCAAGGCUGAUAGACUAUGGCAUCUCACAAUUCUCAGAUACUUCAAAGAGUUGAGAUGCUGUAGUCCCUUGUCAAAAACCUUCAAUGUUGGCAAGUUUUUAAUUGAAAGAGUGACAAGAGUGGAGGGAAGAAACCCUUCCAUAAAGACCUCACGAUCAGUAGAACAACCAAUAAAGCUAAGAUUCUUGAGGCAUGCGAGUCUUUCAAACCCCCAUCGAGAAAUGCUGUUGAGAUUUCCACAACUAUCAAUCAAAAGACGUUCAAGCUUAGCUGGCAGUGGUCCUUCAGGAAAUGAAUAGAGAUUCGGACAUCUUCUCAUAGUUAGGUCCUGAAGUGAAGAAACACCAUGCACCGGCAGUGACCUCAGCUCAUAGCAUUGGCUGAUUUGAAUCUUUCUCAAGUUGGCUACAGGGAACCCCCCAUCUGGGAAGGACACAAGACCAGGACAAGAUAUAAUGGUCAAUGAACAAAGUGAAGUGAGAUUAUGUAGACCCUCAGGAAAAGAUUUCAAAUUCCCACAACCAAUAACUUUAAGUUCUUUAAGACUGGUGGCAGUGUCGGGUGUGAAGGCUUGUAAACCAAGAGAUUGAAGAGAUUCACAAGACUCGAUCAACAAGGAUUCAAGAGAACUGUUGCAAUGCAUCAUUUCCUUAGGUAAGAACUCUAACUUUGAGCACAUCCUGAUCGUAAGCAUUUUUAAUGAGCUUGACAACUUGCAUCCUGGAAGGGAUGUGAGGCAAUGAGAAUUCCAAACACUUAAUCUUUCAAGGGACGAGCAACAUAUCAUCUCUAAAGGCAAUGACUUUGCAUCACAACUAAUCCAGAUAUCUUGAAUCAAUGAUGGCAACCUUGUAUUUGUAGAAAGCCUAAGACGAGGGCAAGCCCAAAUCUCCAUUUUCUUGAGAGUUGUGAGGGUAUGCAGUUGGCAUGGAAAAUGCUCCAUUUGUGGACAAUCAGAAAUGGCCAAUCUUCUAAGAGAAACAAGAUUUUGCAAACUGACCUCAUCAGAUGAAAGCCUAAGCAAAUCACAAGAAUGUAUUUCUAAAUCUUCAAGCAUCAUUAACUGUUCCAAAGCACCUUUAGGCAAACAUCUCAGUUUCUGAAUUUUGCAAAGAUAAAGCGAGGUAAGUGAAUGGAGACCAACAGCCUUUCUUAGCAACAUCUCAUUGCAUUCUUGCAGUCUUAGGUUACGAAUCAAUGAACACGUUGGAAGAGCAUGCAACUGUAAACAUCCAUCGAUAUUAAGUUGGACAAGGGAAGGAAGUUUGGUAGGCAAUUUUCUUAACUUCGGACAUUUCUGUAUUGAAAUUUCUGUGAGGCAUUGCAUCUCUUCUCCUUUCUCUGGAAAAAGCUCAACCAACUCCAUGCAUCCUGUUAUCUUAAGCUGUACCAAGGAAGGAAGGUGUUUAGGUAAAUUUCUCAACUUGGGGCAGUGUUUGAUUGAAAGUUCAUGAAGACAAGGGAACAAGGAAGUUUCCUUUUCAAAGAUGCCAGUUGAUUGAAGCCUUUGUACAGAAGUCAGCUUAUCACACUCCUCAAUAGUCAGCUUUUCCAAUGCAACAAAGCCAGAAGCUGGCUCCAAAAGGAUUUUACCACUAUAGUAUCUAACCAUCAAAUCUUUCAACUUCAUGUUUGAUAGUAGAAUGUUUAACAGCUUCUCUGCAGAACCCCCCUUUGCUAAGGUAUGAAUAUCUCUACUCCAUUCUAACACCAAGGCCGACAGGUAAUGCUUUUUUUCAAAUCUGGCUUCAAUGGCUUCCAAAGGAUCAAGAACAUUUUGCAGCCCUGAAAUUAUAAGGCUUCCCUGGAGAAGUGAUAAGUCUCUCAGUUCCCUAAUCCCAGUCUCAUUAUUCUUUCCUAUGAUGAAAUUAGAUAACCUUUGAAGUUUUAUCAAUCUUCCAAUUCCAUGUGGCAUCUUCAUUAACCCACUUUGACUAGCAUCAAGAUAUUGCAAGUUCAAUAGUUUUCCCAUGUUCGUAGGCAACUCAAUCAGAGAUUGGCAACCGAUCAACAGCAAUGUUUGUAAAUUAUAGAGGGUACCUGUUGAUUCAGGUAAAUUUCUGAUUGAAGUGUAGGAUAAAUCCAGAUAUCGCAGAUGUCUCAAAUUUCCAAUUGAUUCUGGCAAACUAACAAUUUGAUAGCCGUUCAAAGAGAAGACCCUAAUGCGAUUUAGUUUUUGCAACAAUUCAAGUAAUGCCAUUUCAGGCAAGUAGCUAAAUCUUCUUCCUCUACCGAGCGGAAGAAAUGUUCGUAGAGAAGUCUCAGUUUUUCCCAAGGCCCCAAAUUUUGUGAAUGGUUCAUAAUAAUCAGGAACGUAUGACAAAUGGCGAGCAUUUUCAGGAAUUGGAUAGUGCUGUUCAGCUUCAAACAUAUCUUCCAUCCUAAAACACAUCCCUUCAGAAAGAGAUUUAGAUAGAUCAUGAACAAGAUCAUGCAUUUUGAACCCUGAUUUGCAGGUCACUGAAUGCUGAAAAAAUGACCUUGAUAACAGGUCGAGGAAGUAUCUUCUAGCCAUGUCUUCUAGUCUCACUCCCUUCAGCUGCGGAAUAAAACCUUCUGCCAUCCAUAGCAAUACCAACUCAUCCACUUUAAAUUCAUAAUCUUUUGGAAAUAUUGAGCAG